CGCGGCCUAUCAGCUUGUUGGUGAGGUAACGGCUCACCAAGGCAUCGACGGGUAGCUGGUCUGAGAGGACGAUCAGCCACACUGGGACUGAGACACGGCCCAGACUCCUACGGGAGGCAGCAGUAGGGAAUCUUGCGCAAUGGGCGAAAGCCUGACGCAGCAACGCCGCGUGGGGGAUGAAGGCCUUCGGGUCGUAAACCCCUUUCAGCAGGGACGAAACUGACGGUACCUGCAGAAGAAGCGCCGGCCAACUACGUGCCAGCAGCCGCGGUAAUACGUAGGGCGCAAGCGUUGUCCGGAUUCAUUGGGCGUAAAGGGCUCGUAGGCGGUUUGGUAAGUCGGGUGUGAAAACUCAGGGCUCAACUCUGAGACGCCACUCGAUACUGCCAUGACUAGAGUCCGGUAGGGGAGUGUAGAAUUCCUGGUGUAGCGGUGAAAUGCGCAGAUACCAGGAGGAAUACCGAUAGCGAAGGCGGUGCUCUGGGCCGGUACUGACGCUCAGGAGCGAAAGCGUGGGUAGCAAACAGGAUUAGAUACCCUGGUAGUCCACGCCGUAAACGUUGGGCACUAGGUGUGGGGCCUUAUCAACGGGUUCCGUGCCGUAGCUAACGCAUUAAGUGCCCCGCCUGGGGAGUACGG
rnacentral:rRNA from 1 species